rnacentral:rRNA from 1 species
UAGGGAAUUUUCGUCAAUGGGCGCAAGCCUGAACGAGCAAUGCCGCGUGAACGAGGAAGGUCUUCGGAUCGUAAAGUUCUGUUGAAGGGGAAAAAGAGCGGAGAGAGGAAAUGAACUCCGAUUGAUAUUACCCUUCGAGGAAGUCACGGCUAACUACGUGCCAGCAGCCGCGGUAAUACGUAGGUGGCGAGCGUUAUCCGGAAUGAUUGGGCGUAAAGGGUGCGUAGGUGGCCUGCUAAGUCUGGAGUGAAAGGUACCGGCUCAACCGGUACAGGCUCUGGAAACUGGCGGGCUAGAGAGCAG